rnacentral:rRNA from 1 species
UCUACGGGUGGCAGCAGUGAGGAAUAUUGGUCAAUGGACGAGAGUCUGAACCAGCCAAGUCGCGUGAAGGAUGACGGCCCUAUGGGUUGUAAACUUCUUUUAUAUGGGAAUAAAAUGUGCCACGUGUGGGAUUUUGUAUGUACCAUAUGAAUAAGGAUCGGCUAACUCCGUGCCAGCAGCCGCGGUAAGACGGAGGAACCGAGCGUUAUCCGGAUUUAUUGGGUUUAAAGGGAGCGUAGGUGGAUUGUUAAGUCAGUUGUGAAAGUUUGCGGCGCAACCGUAAAACUGCAGUUGAAACUGGCAGUCUUGAGUACAGUAGAGGUGGGCGGAAUGCGUGGUGUAGCGGUGAAAUGCUUAGAUAUCACGAAGAACUCCGAUUGCGAAGGCAGUGCACUGGACUGCAACUGACACUGAGGCUCGAAAGUGUGGGUAUCAAACAGGAUUAGAUACCCGUGUAGUC